rnacentral:rRNA from 1 species
UGGGGAAUAUUGCACAAUGGGCGAAAGCCUGAUGCAGCAACGCCGCGUGAGUGAUGAAGGCCUUCGGGUUGUAAAGCUCUGUCUUUUGGGACGAUAAUGACGGUACCAAAGGAGGAAGCCACGGCUAACUACGUGCCAGCAGCCGCGGUAAUACGUAGGUGGCAAGCGUUGUCCGGAUUUACUGGGCGUAAAGGAUGCGUAGGCGGAUUUUUAAGUGAGAUGUGAAAACCCUAAGCUUAGCUUGGGGGACUGCAUUUCAUACUGGAAAUCUAGAGUGCGGGAGAGGAGAAUGGAAUUCCUAGUGUAGCGGUGAAAAUGCGUAGAGAUUAGGAAGAACACCAGUGGCGAAGGCGAUUCUCUGGACCGUAACUGACGCUGAGGCAUGAAAGCGUGGGUAGCAAAACAGGAUUAGAUACCCUGGUAGUCCACGCCGUAAACGAUGAGUACUAGGUGUAGGAGGUAUCGACCCCUUCUGUGCCGCAGUUAACACAAUAAGUACUCCGCCUGGGAAGUACGAUCGCAAGAUUAAAACUCAAAUGAAUUGACGGGGUC